UACGAGGGGGGCGAGCGUUGUUCGGAAUCACUGGGCGUAAAGCGUGCGUAGGCUGCUUUGCAAGUCGGGAGUGAAAGCCCAAGGCUCAACCUUGGAAUUGCUUUCGAAACUGCAAGGCUCGAAUUCGGGAGAGGAUAGCGGAAUUGUCAGUGUAGCAGUGAAAUGCGUAGAUAUUGACAGGAACACCAGUGGCGUAAGCGGCUAUCUGGACCGACAUUGACGCUGAGGCACGAAAGCGUGGGGAUCAAACAGG
rnacentral:rRNA from 1 species